rnacentral:rRNA from 1 species
UACGUAGGGUGCGAGCGUUAAUCGGAAUUACUGGGCGUAAAGCGCACGUAGGCGGAUCCUUAAGUCAGGGGUGAAAUCCCGAGGCUCAACCUCGGAACUGCCUUUGAUACUGGGGAUAUCGAGUCCGGGAGAGGUGAGUGGAACUGCGAGUGUAGAGGUGAAAUUCGUAGAUAUUCGCAAGAACACCAGUGGCGAAGGCGGCUCACUGGCCCGGUACUGACGCUGAGGUGCGAAAGCGUGGGGAGCAAACAGG